rnacentral:rRNA from 1 species
AUUGAACGCUGGCGGCAUGCCUUACACAUGCAAGUCGAACGGUAACGGGCCUUCGGGUGCCGACGAGUGGCGAACGGGUGAGUAAUAUAUCGGAACGUACCUUUCAGUGGGGGAUAACGUAGCGAAAGUUACGCUAAUACCGCAUAUUCUGUGAGCAGGAAAGCAGGGGACCUUCGGGCCUUGCGCUGAUUGAGCGGCCGAUAUCAGAUUAGCUAGUUGGUGAGGUAAAGGCUCACCAAGGCUACGAUCUGUAGCGGGUCUGAGAGGAUGAUCCGCCACACUGGAACUGAGACACGGUCCAGACUCCUACGGGAGGCAGCAGUGGGGAAUUUUGGACAAUGGGGGCAACCCUGAUCCAGCCAUGCCGCGUGAGUGAAGAAGGCCUUAGGGUUGUAAAGCUCUUUCGGCCGGGAAAAAAUCGCAUCAGCUAAUACCUGGUGUGGAUGAUGGUACCGGAAUAAGAAGCACCGGCUAACUACGUGCCAGCCGCCGCCGUAA